rnacentral:lncRNA from 1 species
AAUGCAUCGUGAUUCCUGUCCAUUGGACUGUAAGGUUUAUGUAGGCAAUCUUGGAAACAAUGGCAACAAGACCGAACUGGAACGGGCUUUUGGCUAGUAUGGACCACUCCAAAGUGUGUGGGUUGCUAGAAACCCUCGCGGCUUUGCUUUUGUUGAAUUUGAAGAUCCCCGAGAUGCAGCUGAUGUGGUCUGAGAACUAGAUGGAAGAACACUAUGUGGCCGCUGUGUAAGAGUGGAACUGUCGAAUGGUGAUAAAAGAAGUAGAAAUCGUAGCCCACCUCCCUCUUGGGGUCAUCGUCCUUGAGAUGAUUAUCAUAGGAGGAGUCUUCCACCUCGUCGUAGAUCUCCAAGAAGAAGCCUCUCUCGCAGCCGGAGCAGGUCCCUUUCUAGAGAUAGGAGAAGAGAGAGAUCUCUGUCUUGGGAGGGAAAUCACAAGCCGUCCAGAUCCUUCUCUAGGUCUCGUAGCCGAUCUAGGUCAAAUAAAAAA